CGAGGUCCGAGUAACUCCCCCGGUGAAGGUGUGCAAGCUGAUACAUGUAUGCGGCAUGCUCCACAACAUCUGCAAGGACAGGAAUAUUCCCAUUCCUCUCGAUGCGGCUCAACCUAACGCUGAAGAAGUGGAUCUUGCCAUGGCACAACCUGAAGGUGUGCAAGUUGUGCCGCCACUUCCAGCUGGUCAGCGGAAUGAAGGUCGCCUGUAUCGAGAUGAAUUCUGCAACUUGCAUUUCCACAAUGAAGACUGAAACCCGUUCCUCAGCACGACUGGACAAGUACAUGCCAAGCUGCCUCCCGUGCCCUUUCAGCUGCCUCCUGCGCCCUUGCAGCUGCCUCCUGCGCCCUUGCAGCUCCUGUGAAGGUCCGAGCACAAGCCGCCACCUCCUCUGCUGCUGCCUUCAUGGCCCGUGCAGCCUCCUCCCCAG